GAUGAACGCUGGCGGCGUGCCUAAUACAUGCAAGUCGAGCGAAUGGAUUAAGAGCUUGCUCUUAUGAAGUUAGCGGCGGACGGGUGAGUAACACGUGGGUAACCUGCCCAUAAGACUGGGAUAACUCCGGGAAACCGGGGCUAAUACCGGAUAACAUUUUGAACCGCAUGGUUCGAAAUUGAAAGGCGGCUUCGGCUGUCACUUAUGGAUGGACCCGCGUCGCAUUAGCUAGUUGGUGAGGUAACGGCUCACCAAGGCAACGAUGCGUAGCCGAACUGAGAGGGUGAUCGGCCACACUGGGACUGAGACACGGCCCAGAAUCCUACGGGAGGAAGCAGGAGGGAAUCUUCCGCAAUGGACGAAAGUCUGACGGAGCAACGCCGCGUGAGUGAGGAAGGCUUUCGGGUCGUAAAACUCUGUUGUUAGGGAAGAACAAGUGCUAGUUGAAUAAGCUGGCACCUUGACGGUACCUAACCAGAAAGCCACGGCUAACUACGUGCCAGCCGCCGCGGUAA
rnacentral:rRNA from 1 species